UUUACGAAUUUCCUUUGACUAGGAAUCCAUAGCGGGUGCAAGACCCGUACGUAUUGCCGGUUUUUCGUACGCGUUUAUCUCUUGGAGUAGGGUUGUUUGAGAUCGCAGCCCUAAGUAGGUGGUAUACUUCAUCUAAAGCUAAAUACGACUACGAAUCCGAUAGCAAACAAGUACCGUGAGGGAAAGUUGCAAAGUACUUUGAAGAGAGAGUUCAAGAGGACGUGAAACCGAUAGGAUGGAAGCAGAUGAAGUUGACGAACGUGUGUCGUAUUCAAAAUCGCUGUCAGCGGUUUGUUUUUACGGCCGAUGUGGGCCGGCGGCUUUGGUCAAUGCAACGCGUCUAGCGUCGAUGGUGACCCUGCGGAGGGACAAUCAGUCGUCGUACGGUGCUUGGUAUGGCUAAGGUUUCGCCGGUCUUAAAGUCAGCGCCUCAUCUGACCCGUCUUGAAACACGGACCAAGGAGUGUAGCGUUUGCGCAAGUCUUAGAGUGUAUCGAAACUUUGAGGCGUAACGAAAGUAAAUGCAGUUUAAUCUGCUGACUUGGGAUGCGUUGUCUCUUGUGGACGGCGCUGGACCAAGGUUUUAUCGCGAUCGCUUGCGGUGCGGUGAAAAUAGAGCGUAAACGGUGCGACCCGAAAGAUGGUG
rnacentral:rRNA from 1 species